UACAGAGGGGGCAAGCGUUGUUCGGAAUUACUGGGCGUAAAGGGCGCGUAGGCGGCCUUCUAAGUCGAACGUGAAAUCCCCGGGCUCAACCCGGGAACUGCGUCCGAUACUGGAAGGCUUGAAUCCGGGAGAGGGAUGCGGAAUUCCAGGUGUAGCGGUGAAAUGCGCAGAGUAUCAGGAGGAACACCGGUGGCGAAGGCGGAUCUCUGGGCCAUUACUGACGCUGAGGAGCGAAAGCGUGGGGAGCGAACAG
rnacentral:rRNA from 1 species